CCAGCUUUCCCCUGUGCUGAAGCCGGAACUCCAGGCUCCUGGCCUUCAGCCUCCCUGCCUCUAGGCCUCUGGAUGUGGGUCGAGGCACGCUGCAUGAACCCGGGCCAGCGUGGAGAUGGCCUGUCGUGGGCCCCUCCCAGCCCUGACGACCUGAGCCAGCACCCCAUGUUCUGAAGAUCAAACCCAGGGCCUUAUGCAGGGUUUUAUCAAGUCACUAAGUUGCCCAGGCUAACUCGAGCUUGUGAUCCUCCUGCCUGGGCUCCCCAGAGCGCUGGGAUUACAGACCUUCGCCACUCAGCAGUUUCUAAGAGGUCGGUGGCGUUGUGUGCGAGUGUGUAGGCGAGUGUGCAACACUGCCCCUCUGAACAGCACCGAGCAGCCUCCCACAGCCUGACAGGAUUCUUGAGCACGUUCUCGAUGGCCACGUUUUCUAUUCCUGUGCCCAGAAAAUGUCUGCUUCGUUCUUGGGCCUCUCUCUUGGAAUCGACGUCGCGGCUCCUGCCGGAUGAGCUGCGAGCGCCAGCUCCCUUCCUUAAAUAGUCGGUCCCCAGGCGGCGACAUCCCGGCCGGGGUGGGCGCAGAGUGGCACUGGGGCUCGCACUCCGCAGCCAGCAUCUCCAGGGCUGCAGAGGCAGCGGGGCCGGGCCGGCUCUGCACCGCUGCGCUGCGUUCCCGUCAUGCGGAAGUUUCCCGAGCACCUCUUCUCCGCCUGCUGGGCCCGGAAGGCGACCCAGAUUCACGCGUUGGAAACUUCAUCUCCU
rnacentral:lncRNA from 1 species